CCUCUAGUGCCCUCUUUAACAGACAACCAGACUGGGUUAUUUACCAUGAACUUGUGCUGACAACAAAAGAAUACAUGAGAGAGGUGACAGCCAUUGAUCCCAAGUGGCUCGUGGAGUUCGCACCCAAAUUUUUCCGCUUCAGUGACCCAACAAAACUCAGCAAGCAGAAAAAAAAGCAGAAGAUUGAGCCAUCCUGUACAACAAGUACAAGGAUGCAAACUCCUGGAGAAUCUCAAGAGCUUUCAAGAAAGUGCACACAAAAGUUACUUUCUAGAUUUUUAUGUCAACUUUCUGUUUCUUAUGGGAUUCUUUGUUGCUUGGGGAAAAGUGCUUGUCUUGUACAAUCUUUAGAUGUGAAUUGUGAUUUUUUUAAUGUCUCAAAAUUAAAAAUUAACAACUUUUAAAA